AGCGGAGCCCCGGCCGGGCUCUCCGCCCUCCUCCCGGUGCUCUGGCCGCCGGGGAGAGUGGAGCCCCGGCCGGGCUCUCCGCCCUCCUCCCAGCGCUCUGGCCCUAGGUGCUGGUGGCCUGCAAUAGACAGGAGGGCAGACUAGAUGAACUGGCGGUCCUGACUGGCCUUAAACUCUGACACAUAAUUUAUUCCCAGAAGCCUAUUUAUACUAAUAAGUGUGUUCAUACAUUAUCAGCAGCACCACCAAUGCCAGGAUUCCUGGACUGUUACACACAUAGUCUAAAACAGCCAAAAAAACGAAGAAAUAAAUAUUGCUUACAGAUAGUGUCCAAAAACCAUGUUUCAUUCAUUCCUGUGUUAAUGGUACUAAUAACACUAUAUUAAAAAAGAAAGAAUUUUUAAAAUUCAUCCCAACUAUAUUUAUUCUCCAUUUCUUUUUGCAGUCAUCUCAGCUAGGAUACUGAACAUCUAUUAAGCCAGUUUGGCUUUCUCAUUUUCUAGUGCUGCUAGUGUUUUGGUUUCAUUUACUGCAGAGUGUGGUGUAUUGAAAUCCACGUCAAAAUUGUGAUCUACCACUUUAAAUUCUCUGGGGUUUUUCUGGCUGUACUUGUAGAUGAGGGCUCUGUAGGGAAGAGUCUGAUCAGAGUCAGUCUGCGGACAGAUAAUUUAGAAAGAGCUUCUGUUUUUUAAGGGAGUAGCCUGCUUUGUGUCUCUAGUUUUUGGUUCUGAGCCCUUAUCCAAGCCGGAACUCUUUAGGAACUCUUCCUUGGCAGGCUCCACCAUUGAAAUGGUCUGUAACGUGACCGUAGGUAGGGUGGAUUCCUAUCAGUGGAAAAAGGACCAUAAGCCUCUCCCUAGGUCUGAUCACUACCAACUCUCUUGGAAUAACAGUGUACUUCUCAUACUGAAUGCAAUACAGGCUGAUAGUGGCUGUUACUCCUGCAAAGUUACCAAUGAAGUUAGUGAGAACGAAACCUCCCUGGAAUUGACCAUUAGUGAUUCUUCAGCUGUGGUUUCAAACGGAGUUGCUGUCAUAACUGCUGUCGUAAUUCUAGUAAUAGCAGAUGGGAACUUAUACAGUGAAUAAAAACUCUGCCGUGACUUCAUCUGGAUGAACAAUCCCAAUUUUCAAAGGACAUAAUGGAACAGAAGUGAAUUAUAUGGUUUGCUUCUGCCCAGCAACAACCACUUCAUAAGGCUUAAGACAGUCAUCAGACCUCUUACAAGUCACAAAUUACAAAUCAGUGUUCUAUGUCAGAAAAUGCAUCUGAAAUCAUCCAUCUUGUGGUUUUUGGUUCUUUGACACGGAGUUGCCAAUUGCCCAUCCAUGAACUAUACUAGCACUCAGAACUAAUUUUGGAAAAUGCCUCUCCAGGAAAGAGGAGAGAGAGAGAGCUGCAAUUGCACAAUGGCAUCUGAAAAUUAUAACUCAGCAUUUCAAGUUAUGUAGAAACAUAUUGCGUCUAAAUUUAAACAAACAAGCAACAAAAUGCGCGAAACAAUAGACCUAUAAGGUAGAGUGUUUAAAAGGACAGGUUGUUUCCUAUAGAGCAGGGGUGUCAAACUCAUAUUGGGGAGAGGGCUAAAGUCUAUUUUUAGUUGUGAUCUAUGAAGCAGGGUAUAAAUACAGAUCUCUAUGCAGUACUUCUCUGGAUCCAUAGUAGGAACUUCCCUUAUGUUAAUAGUAAGUCUGCCUAAAGGACAAAGAUAAAUAUGGCUUUUAGUAAACGCCAGUGCCUUAUUGUUGAAUUCACUCUGUAGAAAAAUAUGCUAACUUUUCAGACCAUGGCUAUUUUUGCCUUUUGUUUCUCCUCCUUCCCCGUCCUCCUUUCCCUGUCUUUAUGGCUUGUUUACAUGGAAAAAUUGACCAGAAUAAUUAUUGUGGAAUAAACUUAUCUGCAAUAGCUCCUCAUGUGGACACUGGAAUUUAAAUAUUUUGGAAUUUAUUCUGGAAUAAUUAGUGCAAUUUGAACACGUAAAUCAUAUUAUUCCAGAAUAAUUAUAUCCUAAAAUAGUGUCCACCUUGGGAGCGAUUCUGGUCUGUUUCCCUAAGCCUCUCUUUUCCUUCUUGCAGCAUCUCCCAAUUUCCCUCUUGUGGGCUUGACUCCCACUUUUUUCACCACCCAAUCUGUGAAACUGAGCACUGACAGAAGCAGUGUGUGCCCACUGUAACUCAAGCUUGUCUCUCUCACCAUCAGAAGUUGGUCUAAUAAAAUAUAUUACCUCACCCACCCUGUCUCUCUAAUAUCCCGGGGCUGACACAGCUACAACUACACUGCAUACAGUGCCUGCUUUGCUGUGUCCCCUUUCCUUUUGCAUUUGCCAUCCUUUUGCUGAAAGGUGUUAAUGGUUGCCAUAGGUAGAGUCUUAGAUCCGAAGACAAAUCACAGACCUCAUUCAGGACCAUGGGGGUGCCAAGCACUCUCUUCCUGGCUCAACUGAAGGAACAAUCCAGCUCCUUUUAUGUAGUAAAAACAGCUGUGGGCUGUACCAUCAACAAUUUUUAAAAUGUAUUUGUAAUAAAAAUCUAGUAACUAAAACGGCA